UUAUAAACCCAUGUAGUACUUGACUUUCUUUUCCAGAGCUGUAGUGCGAGUGCCCUACAGGCAAGAUUGAAAGUAGCUGCACAUGAAGCUGAGGAAGAAUCUGAUAACAUUGCUGAAGAUUUCUUGGAGGGAAAAACUGAAAUUGAUGAUUUUCUCAGUAGCUUCAUGGAAAAGAGAACAAUUUGUCACUGUCGAAGAGCCAAGGAAGAGAAACUCCAACAAGCAAUAACACUGCACAGCCAAUUUCAUGCUCCAUUAUAGAUUUUCCUGAAAACAUGUACUGCCAAGAGAGGAAUGGGACACAAAACUAAGCACCUUUUAUAUUAAUGAUUUGAAAAUUGGCAUUUCAUCACAGUGACUGAAUUCAUAGAUGUACUAUACAGAUUGUAUACAGAACUGAGACUGAUUUUAUACAGAUUAGAAUGAUUGCUAUGAUCUUUGCUUUGAGAAAUUUUUCUGCACUGUUUGCACUAAAAGUGUUUAUUUAUUGUUGAUCAAUUCUAUCAUAUUUAAGUUCCACUGCUGUUCUCUCUUACUAUUGAUUAAAUACCUAUGCAUCUAAUUUUAGCUGGUUUCAAUAUUUUAUACUACUUCAUUUAACUUUGUAUUUUUAAUUUAAAAUGAUUUCAUUUCUUCAUCAAGAAUGGUUCAGAUUUUAUCCUCUCAACCUUUUCUGAAAAUUACCAUUUUCACUGUUAAUGACUUAUUUUUCCUUUCUUUUUGGAUGGUAAGACUUUGAAAAAACAAUUUGUUUUGAACUGUUAGUGUCAGGAAACACCAAACCUGACAAUGUGCCAUCUCAAGAAAGUAACUUUUAAUACUUAAAAUAAAUCAAAAGAAUAAACCAGCUGCUCUUCUAUAUUGCUUAGUUUUUUAAGUUAAAGACACAUUAUAAAAGAAGCAAUACAGGUAAAUUAAUAUUUUGCUUAAUAGAAAAUAUUUGCCUUAAAUUAGUCCAACAUAAAUAUUCAUACUAGUUUAUUAUAUAAGUAGCUGAUGGGUUUGUGGUUGGAUAAGGUAUAUGCUAAAUUCCUAAUGUUAAAGUCAAAAACUAUCCUUUUGUUAAUAAAUAGUAAAUCUAGACACAAAAGCAUCAAUGAAUUUUUCUAACCUUUACUCUUAGUGUUCAUAAGAGGAGAGCUUUGGUAAUAAAUUUAAUAUUUAUUUUUUAGGCAGUCUAGUUUUUAAUUGAAUUUUCUCUUUAAUGUGUAUAUGUCAAUUUGCUUCUAUACAUAUUACCUAAUGAACACAUUUUAUGGAUAGCCAUAAAAGCUAUUAAAGGAGAAAAUCUUUAACUAUAUAAUAGUUAAGGAUUAGUAAGGUAGUAUCUAAAUCACAAAACAACCUAAUGCAUAUGUUUGUUUAAAUUUCAUCUCAAUAUGAUUGUCAUUCCAAACACCAGCAUAUGUAGUUUUGUCCUUUCCUCAUUCUGCUGUUCUUCCUAUACAUUUUUUUGACUGAGUUUUAGGAAAAACAGAAUUAUUUUCUUAAGACUUGAAAAAUAAUAGUCUGUAUGUGGAAGGGCAGGUAUUCACAUGGACUUCAAAUACAUAGAUAGAUAAAGAGGUUGACUUUUAUUAACCACCUGUCUUCCUGACACUGUGCUAAGGGCAUGCUGUUACGCUUCAAAAUCACCAGACGAGGAAGAUAAACUAUUCUGGCUUUCCAGUUCAGAUAACUGAGAUAUACACUGGCAAAUGGAAGAAAUUAAAGUCACAGCCUCAGUAUUAGCAAAGAAGAUUCUAAGAGUGAUAACUACAAGAAUGACAUAAAGUACUAUUCAAAUGCUGCACAUGUUUCCUCUCAUUUAAUCCUCAUUGAAUUCCUAUGAGAUCUGUACAGAUGAGGAAACGGAGGCUUGGAGAAAUUAGUUUUCCAAAUCACAGCUAGUGAGUGGAACAGCCUGGAUUCAAGCCCACUAAAUUGGCUGGUCUGUUGCAACAAAACACAAAACUGUCUGGGAAAACAGGAAGUUUCCAAACUGGCAGGAAUAAAUGUGAUGUUGAAUGUGAAUCAAAAACCUCUCGUUGAACUCAAAGGCACAGGGGAAUUGUUCCAUCAGCUGCCAGAUGCACUCAAUGAACUGGUCAAUAACUGGAGAGAUUUCUUUUGGAUCACCAUCUAGAUUGCCAUACCUAGGAAGCAAAAGAAUGUCAGCUCUGUGAGGGAAGAGACUUGAUCUGGCUUAUUCGACAUGCAUCCUCAGCACCUUGAGGAGUGCCUGCCAGCAUGGAAAUGAGAGCAAGUUUAAAAAUAAAGACACCAGACUUCCCAGCUGACCUGGAGAUGCCUCUGCCAAAAGCCAGAGAGGAACAGAUGCCUCCCUGAACAAGGCCCUAAAAUGUACUGCAAGCCAGAAUGUUCCAACACUUCUAUCUUCAUUUAGCUCACCCAGCAAGGGGCAAGGGGCCGCAUCUCCUGCCAGGUCAGCUCCUUUCUGCCAUACUGAGAAUGGCUCCUUGGUUAACAUUUCCACUUUCAGGAACAUUAAAGCUGCGUGUGUAAUGGAAGAUGACCUCGCCAGAUUUUCCAGCAAGUUGCCGAGUGGCGAUCAGUGAGGAUGCAGACGCUCCAUUUGAUCCUGUGGUAUUGGCCUUUCUUGUCUCUUAAGAUCUGAAGUUGAAAUGCACCUUGGCCUUCCCUUAAUUAACAGCCUGACACACGCCUGAGUUCUGCUGAUGUCUGAUUUGCCCCUUUUGAAUUUUGGACUCAGAAAACCAAGACCAAUAAAAUGGGCCUCAAAGAACUGGCAAAAUGAUCAUUUCCCUUCACCAGAGGACUUCAUCAUGGUCUAUAAACAGAAAUGUGUGAGUAGCCUGUUUUGGGGUUGCUCUUUUACUUAGAGCCCACACGGUGACACAGAAUACAAUUCUGAGCUCUGCACUGAAUUGUAUCCAGCGUAUUGAUGUUAGUGGCGUUCUCCUCCCGACCCAUGCCAAACGGCGUGAGCCCUCUUCAUAGGGAACUUCCCAGUAACUGGAGAGAUCUGUAUGUUUGCUCCUCCAUAAGACACCAACAGGAUUUUGUAGAUGAUUCUUUAAAACAAUUCCAGCUUUGUUCAUGAUGCCAUUCUCUAGAAUCUCUGUACAAUUAAUUAUACCAUGAAGGCCACUUUUGUAUAGUUGUUUCCUUGUAAAGAAUUUGAUGCUAAUGUGAAACGGUAAGAUACAAGCAAUAAAUUCUAUACGCCUAUAUUAGCACUGCUUGAGUUAGUAGCAUAGAAAGUAGUACAAACACACAUGUGCAUGAGCAUGAGUUUAUCCAGCUACUAAUCAACAUGUGUGUGAAUACUAUUUACCAAUGGCCUAAAGAAAAUCAAACAGCAGGUUCACAAAAAAAUGCCCUCUGGUAUCUAU